rnacentral:rRNA from 1 species
UACAGAGGUCUCAAGCGUUGUUCGGAUUCAUUGGGCGUAAAGGGUGCGUAGGCGGCGUGGUAAGUCGGGUGUGAAAUCUCGGAGCUUAACUCCGAACUGCAUUCGAUACUGCCGUGCUUGAGGACUGGAGAGGAGACUGGAAUUUACGGUGUAGCGGUGAAAUGCGUAGAUAUCGUAAGGAAGACCGAGUGGCGAAGGCGGGUCUCUGACAGUCCUGACGCUGAGGCACGAAGGCCAGGGAGCAAACAGG